rnacentral:misc_RNA from 1 species
AACCUUAUGGACCUGCGGGCGUAUACCUGCGGAGGGAUCAUUACCUAGAGUUGUAGGCUUUGCCUGCUAUCUCUUACCCAUGUCUUUUGAGUACCUUCGUUUCCUCGGCGGGUCCGCCCGCCGAUUGGACAAAUUCAAACCCUUUGCAGUUGCAAUCAGCGUCUGAAAAAACUUAAUAGUUACAACUUUUAACAACGGAUCU